AUUGAACGCUGGCGGCAUGCCUUACACAUGCAAGUCGAACGGCAGCACGGGAGCAAUCCUGGUGGCGAGUGGCGAACGGGUGAGGUAAUAUAUCGGAACGUGCCCAGUCGUGGGGAUAACGUAGCGAAAGCUACGCUAAUACCGCAUACGAUCUACGGAUGAAAGCGGGGGGAUCGCAAGGACCUCGCGCGAUUGGAGCGGCCGAUAUCAGAUUAGGUAGUUGGUGAGGUAAAGGCUCACCAAGCCGACGAUCUGUAGCUGGUCUGAGAGGACGACCAGCCACACUGGGACUGAGACACGGCCCAGACUCCUACGGGAGGCAGCCAGUGGGGAAUUUUGGACUAAUGGGCGCAAGCCUGAUCCAGCAAUGCCGCGUGCAGGAUGAAGGCCUUCGGUUGUAAC
rnacentral:rRNA from 1 species